rnacentral:rRNA from 1 species
AGAGUUUGAUCAUGGCUCAGGAUGAACGCUGGCGGCGUGCCUAAUACAUGCAAGUCGAACGGGGAGUUCGCAAGGGCUCCCAGUGGCGAACGGGUGAGUAACGCGUGGGCGACCUGCCCCAAAGCGGGGGAUAACAGCUCGAAAGGGCUGCUAAUACCCCAUGAGGUCCCGCUGGUUAGAGGCGGCGGGACGAAAGGCGCAAGCCGCUUUGGGAGGGGCCUGCGUCCCAUCAGCUAGUUGGUCGGGUAACGGCUGACCAAGGCGAUGACGGGUAGGGGACCUGAGAGGGUGAUCCCCCACACUGGCACUGAAACACGGGCCAGACACCUACGGGUGGCAGCAGUAGGGAAUAUUGCACAAUGGGCGCAAGCCUGAUGCAGCAACGCCGCGUGCGCGACGAAGGCCUUCGGGUCGUAAAGCGCUUUUCGGGGAGAUGAGCACGGACAGUAUCCCCGGAAGAAGGAUCGGCUAACUACGUGCCAGCAGCCGCGGUAAAACGUAGGAUCCGAGCGUUAUCCGAAUUCACUGGGCGUAAAGCGCAUGCAGGCGGCCGCACAAGUUGGAUGUGAAAUCUCCCGGCUCAACUGGGAGGGGACGUUCAAAACUGUGCGGCUCGAGGGCGGUAGAGGAAGGUAGAAUUCCCGGUGUAGUGGUGAAAUGCGUAGAUAUCGGGAGGAAUACCCGUGGCGAAGGCGACCUUCUGGACCGUUUCUGACGCUCAGAUGCGAAAGCUAGGGGAGCGAACGGGAUUAGAAACCCCGGUAGUCCUAGCCGUAAACGAUGUCGACUGGGCGUGGGUGGGGUAAAAGCCAUCCGUGCCGAAGCUAACGCGUGAAGUCGACCGCCUGGGGACUACGGCCGCAAGGUUAAAACUCAAAGGAAUUGACGGGGGCCCGCACAAGCAGCGGAGCGUGUGGUUUAAUUCGAUGCUACACGAAGAACCUUACCCGGGUUUGACAUGCCAGUGGUAGUUGUGGUGAAAGCCCAACGACCCUUCGGGGAGCUGGCACAGGUGCUGCAUGGCUGUCGUCAGCUCGUGUCGUGAGAUGUCCGGUUAAGUCCGGUAACGAGCGCAACCCCUGCCCGAUGUUACAGGUGUCAUCGGGGACUGCCCGUAGCAAGCGGGAGGAAGGUGGGGAUGACGUCAAGUCAGCAUGGCCUUUAUGUCCGGGGCUACACACACGCUACAAUGGCCGGUACAAUGGGUUGCAAAACCGCGAGGUGGAGCCAAUCCCCAAAGCCGGUCUCAGUUCGGAUUGCAGGCUGCAACUCGCCUGCAUGAAGCCGGAGUUGCUAGUAACCGCGCGUCAGCCAUAGUGCGGUGAAUACGUUCCCGGGCCUUGUACACACCGCCCGUCACGUCAUGGGAGCUGGUAACACCUGAAGCCGGUGUCUGAACCGCAAGGACAGAGCCGUCGAAGGUGGGACUGGUGACUGGGACGAAGUCGUAACAAGGUAACCGUA